ensembl:lncRNA
CUUCAGCGCCUUGUGCGCCCGUAACAAUCACCUAUAGAAUUUCCAGAGUUCCCUUCAGGGUUCGUACUUACUGAUCUUGACCUCCGCUGCUCCCUGAAGUCCAUUCUUCUGUGGCCCUAAACACUACCCACAUUUCCCUAAGACAGAGCUGCUCUCAGCUGUCCCAAACUAGCAAUACAAGGCCUGGAAGAAGUAAAUGUGGCAGUCUGUGAAACACAACCUGGCCCAGAUACCCUACCUUUAGGCCCCACCAGUUAGAUGUCUGCAGUCCUGCUUCCUUGUAGCUUGGCAAGGACGUGAAACUAAAGGAUAACCAACUCUUUUAGAACAUGCAAACAUCUCUAUUUGUUAGUGGUUUUAAACAGCAGAUCUCUCUUGUUCUUCCCUUGGGGCUGACAGGACACAGAUGUCAGCUUCAGCUAACAAUCACUACAGCCAAAAGAUUUGAGGCUGUACAAGGUGGAGUCCUACUGCUUUUGUGAUGCCCUCAGGUAAUCUUUUCUAUUCUCCUGUUCCUUCUGAAUAACCAAGAUCUCUAUCUUUUCAG